GAUGAACGCUGGCGGCGUGCCUAAUACAUGCAAGUCGAGCGAACGGACGAGAAGCUUGCUUCUCUGAUGUUAGCGGCGGACGGGUGAGUAACACGUGGAUAACCUACCUAUAAGACUGGGAUAACUUCGGGAAACCGUAGCUAAUACCGGAUAAUAUUUUGAACCGCAUGGUUCAAAAGUGAAAGACGGUCUUGCUGUCACUUAUAGAUGGAUCCGCGCUGCAUUAGCUAGUUGGUAAGGUAACGGCUUACCAAGGCAACGAUGCAUAGCCGACCUGAGAGGGUGAUCGGCCACACUGGAACUGAGACACGGUCCAGACUCCUACGGGAGGCAGCAGUAGGGAAUCUUCCGCAAUGGGCGAAAGCCUGACGGAGCAACGCCGCGUGAGUGAUGAAGGUCGUCGGAUCGUAAAACUCUGUUAUUAGGGAAGAACAUAUGUGUAAGUAACUGUGCACAUCUUGACGGUACCUAAUCAGAAAGCCACGGCUAACUACGUG
rnacentral:rRNA from 1 species